AAAAAACAGAGAAAAGUGAGAGAGAGAGAGAGAGAGAGAGAGAGUAAAGAGAAAAGGGAA
rnacentral:sRNA from 1 species